GUUAGUAAUAGAUCGCUUUUUUCCUUUCUUUGCCUCCACUCCAUCCCCGCUUUCUUUUUUCGCCUUUUGAUUUAAUGCCCGUUUCACCCCGGAGGACCGGAGAGCAGCUGCUCUCUGACCCCCCGCCGACCUCUGUUCCGAACGAGAAGUUCGGACCCCGCGACUUUGCCCAUCUGCCCCAUCAAACGGAGUGUCUGGAGGCUGUACACCUGGAUAGCCUGCGUGUCUGCUGGCAGUUGUCAUUUCAGCAAGCACCAGACACCACCCUCCACCACCCCGGACACCUCCAAUCAGCAGGGGAAUCUGGCAUAUUCAAAGAGUGGAGCAACUUAUUCUCUACCACCACCACCACCAGUGUCUGCAC
ensembl:lncRNA